UAAUACGUAGGUGGCAAGCGUUGUCCGGAUUUACUGGGCGUAAAGGAUGCGUAGGUGGAUAUUUAAGUGGGAUGUGAAAUACCCGGGCUCAACUUGGGUGCUGCAUUCCAAACUGGAUAUCUAGAGUGCAGGAGAGGUAAGUGGAAUUCCUAGUGUAGCGGUGAAAUGCGUAGAGAUUAGGAAGAACACCAGUGGCGAAGGCGACUUACUGGACUGUAACUGACACUGAGGCAUGAAAGCGUGGGGAGCAAACAGG
rnacentral:rRNA from 1 species